rnacentral:rRNA from 1 species
UGCCAGCAGCCGCGGUAAGACGGAGGGGGCGAGCGUUGUUCGGAAUUACUGGGCGUAAAGGGCGCGUAGGCGGCCUGUCAAGUCAGGGGUGAAAGGCCUGGGCUCAACCUGGGAACGGCCUCUGAGACUGACGGGCUUGAGGGCGAGAGAGGAUGGCGGAAUUCCCAGUGUAGAGGUGAAAUUCGUAGAUAUUGGGAAGAACACCGGUGGCGAAGGCGGCCAUCUGGCUCGCGACUGACGCUGAGGCGCGAAAGCGUGGGGAGCAAACAGGAUUAGAUA